UCAGCCGCCGCGGUAAUACGUAGGGAGCGAGCGUUGUCCGGAAUUACUGGGCGUAAAGGGUGCGUAGGUGGCCAAGCAAGUCAGAUGUGAAAUCCCCGGGCUUAACUCGGGAUCUGCAUUUGAAACUGCAUGGCUUGAGUGCAGGAGAGGAAAGCGGAAUUCCUAGUGUAGCGGUGAAAUGCGUAGAUAUUAGGAGGAACACCAGUGGCGAAGGCGGCUUUCUGGACUGUAACUGACACUGAGGCACGAAAGCGUGGGGAGCAAACAGGAUUAGAUACCCUGGUAGUCCACGCUGUAAACGAUGGAUACUAGGUGUGGGGGAGAUACAACCUCCGUGCCGCAGCAAACGCAAUAAGUAUCCCGCCUGGGGAGUACGGCCGCAAGGCUGAAACUCAAAGGAAUUGACGGGGGCCCGCACAAGC
rnacentral:rRNA from 1 species